rnacentral:rRNA from 1 species
CUCUAUUCGACCCGUCUUGUAACACGGACCAAGGAGUCUGACAUGUGUGCGAGUCAACGGGCGAGUAAACCCGUAAGGCGCAAGGAAGCUGAUUGGCGUGAUCCCCCCGAGGGGUGCAACGCCGACCGACCUCGAUCUUCUGAGAAGGGUUUGAGUGUGAGCAUACCUGUCGGGACCCGAAAGAUGGUGAACUAUGCCUGAGGAGGGCAAAUUCAGGGGAAACUCUGAUGGAGGCUUGUAGCGAUACUGACGUGCAAAUCGUUCGUCUCACUUGGGUAUAGGGGCGAAAGACUAAUCGAACCAUCUAGUAGCUGGUUCCCUCCGAAGUUUCCC